GGACAGGUGAUCGUGGAGAAGCUUCUAGAGAAGGACGAGAGGUGACACCUGGAGGGACAUUCAGGGGGGGAGCGGGGUGAGCGACGCCCCAAAAAUCGGAGAUCAAAAGUACCCAAAAAGGUCAUGGGACAGGUGGGGUCGGAGAACGUUCAGGAAAUUGUUGAGAGGUGAGCACAGGUGACACCUGGAGGGACAUCCAGGAGGGGAGCGGGGUGAGCGACACCCCAAAAAUCGGGGAACCCCAAAAAAAAACCCGGAAGUGCCCCAAAAAGGGUCCUGGGACAGGUGAGGGCACAGGUGGGCAUGGGGAAGCUGCAGGAAUGGUGAGCACAGGUGAGCACAGGUGACACCUGGAGGGACGUCCAGGAGGGACUGGGACCAGGGUGAGCGACCCAAAAACUCGUGGGGAGGAACAGGGACCCCGAAAAAUCCCAAAAAGUGCCCAAACGGGGUCACAGGGCAGGUGGUGCUGGAGAACCUGCUGGAGGUGGUGAGCACAGGUGAGCACAGGUGAGCACAGGUGAGCACAGGUGAGCACAGGUGAGCACAGGUGAGCUGUGUGUCCCCUGUGUCUCUGUGUGUCACACCUGUGUCACCUGUGUCCUCUCACCUGUACCAGUCCUUCACUGUGCCCUCACCUGUGCCUUACCUGUGGCACCUGUCCCCACUCACCUGUCCCUGUCCCUUACGUGUCUCACCUGUCCCUCACCUGGUCCCUCACCUGUCCCUGUCCCAGUCCCUCACCUAUCCCUCAGCCGUGCGCACCUGUUCUCUCACCUGUCCCUGUGCUCACCUGUCCUUCACCUGUCUCACCUGUCUCACCUGUCCCUGUCCCUCACCUGUCUCACCUGUCCCCAGGAGAAGGCCGACCUGGGCGAGGUGAAUUUCUCACUUUGUUACCCGUCUCUGUGCUCACCUGUCCCUCACCUGUCCCUCACCUAUCCCAGUCCCUAUCCCUCACCUGUCUCACCUGUCUCACCUGUCUCACCUGUGGCAGGAGAAGGCCGACCUGGGCGAGGUGAAUUUCUCGCUCUGUUACCUGCCCACGGCCGGGCGCCUGACGGUGACCGUGAUCCGCGCCUCCAACCUGCGCGCCAUGGACCUGACCGGCUACUCAGGUGUGUGCAGGUGGGACAGGUGUGUCCUGAGGGGGACAGGUGGGACAGGUGAGGGACAGGUGAGACAGGUGGGACAGGUGGGACAGGUGAGGGAUGGGGACAGGCAGGACAGGUGAGACAGGUGAUGGAUGGGGACAGGUGAGGGACAGGUGAGGGAUGGGGACAGGCAGGACAGGUGAGACAGGUGGGACAGGUGAGAGAGGUGAGACAGGUGAGACAUGGGGACAGGUGAGGGACAGGUGAGGGACAGGUGAGGGAGACAGGUGGGGACAGGUGGGACAGGUGUGUCCUGAGGG
rnacentral:lncRNA from 12 species